GAACUGCGAUAAGUAAUGUGAAUUGCAGAAUUCAGUGAAUCAUCGAGUCUUUGAACGCACAUUGCGCCCCAUGGCAUUCCGGGGGGCAUGCCUGUCCGAGCGUCAUUGCUGCCCUUCAAGCCCGGCUUGUGUGUUGGGUCGUCGUCCCCUCCGGGGGACGGGCCCGAAAGGCAGCGGCGGCACCGCGUCCGGUCCUCGAGCGUAUGGGGCUUUGUCACCCGCUCGAUAAGGACCGGCCGGGCGCCAGCCGGCGUCUCCAACCUUUUUUUCUCAGGUUGACCUCGGAUCAGGUAGGGAUACCCGCUGAACUUAAGC
rnacentral:misc_RNA from 1 species